rnacentral:rRNA from 1 species
UACGUAGGGUGCAAGCGUUGUCCGGAAUUAUUGGGCGUAAAGGGCUCGUAGGCGGUCCAUCGCGUCGGGAGUGAAAAGCUGGGGCUUAACCCCAGUCCUGCUUUCGAUACGGGUGGACUAGAGGUAGGCAGGGGAGAAUGGAAUUCCUGGUGUAGCGGUGAAAUGCGCAGAUAUCAGGAGGAACACCGGUGGCGAAGGCGGUUCUCUGGGCCUUACCUGACGCUGGAGGAGCGAAAGCAUGGGGAGCAAACAGG